rnacentral:rRNA from 1 species
GACGAACCGUCCAAACGUUAUUCGGUAUCACUGGGCUUAAAGGUUGCGUAGGCGGGCGAGUAAGGUGGGUGUGAAAGCCCUCGGCUCAACCGAGGAAUUGCGCCCAAAACUGCUCGGCUCGAGGGAGAUAGAGGUGAGCGGAACUUAGGGUGGAGCGGUUAAAUGCGUUGAUAUCCUAAGGAACACCGGAGGCGAAGGCGGCUCACUGGGUCUUUCCUGACGCUGAGGCACGAAAGCUAGGGGAGCGAACGGG